CACAGCUGAGCUGGCUGAGUGGAUCUACUGGGUUUUUCUAAGUGAAAACCACUUGGUGAGGACUUCUAGUGUCAGACUGGUCAUCCUCCUGCUCUUUCCUACAGCAAAUUUCUACCACCAAAGCUUCAGAUGGGUCAGGAGUACCCUACAUCCAUGGGAUCAAGUUAAAACAGGAGAAAACCCUGAAAUCCUCAGAAAGAUUCCUAUUUCCUCGCAUCAAGGACAAGAACAUAUGAAGUCAGCUUGACAAAACAAAAACAUUUUUCAGCAACAGGACAACAAAGCUGUCACUAGAAGACAAAUCCUGUUCCCAGAUUAUGAAAGUCCAUUUCAC